rnacentral:lncRNA from 1 species
AAGUUGAUAAGAAAUUGCCCUGUAGCUGUAGGUGAGUACGUGUUUUAAACAGACUUGCUCCUCUUCAGUUUUCACGAAUUUAAUGCUAUAUUAGGAUUAGGUUGAUUGACUAGGCAUAAUGCUAUAGUCUAUUAUCAGUUUAGAAUAGUGCGCCUGGCUAGUUUGGAGGAAAAGAAAUAUUUUUGACAAGGAAAAAGUAAAAAUUAGAGGGAAAGAGUAUUUCUGCAGUGUUCACCAGUAAAUUGAUUGCUCUAGGUACAGAUGCCUACAUGGUGUAUAUCAUGAACACACCUAAGCUAAAG